GCAGGCUUCCCCAAACUCUGGCCCUCCAGAUGUUGCCAUGAGUCUAUGAAUGAAAUAGAUAGGCUGAGAAUCAUUGGAGUUGUAGUUCAGCAACACCUGGAGGGCUGGAGUUUGGGGAAGCCUGCUUUAAAG